rnacentral:rRNA from 1 species
UACGUAGGGCGCAAGCGUUGUCCGGAAUUAUUGGGCGUAAAGAGCUCGUAGGCGGUUUGUCGCGUCUGCUGUGAAAACCUAAGGCUCAACCUUGGGCUUGCAGUAGGUACGGGCAGACUAGAGUGCGGUAGGGGUGACUGGAAUUCCUGGUGUAGCGGUGAAAUGCGCAGAUAUCAGGAAGAACACCCGUGGCGAAGGCGGCUCUCUGGGACGGUACUGACGCUGAAGACGCGAAAGCGUGGGGAGCAAACAGG